UGGGGAAUAUUGGACAAUGGGCGAAAGCCUGAUCCAGCAAUACCGAGUGAGUGACGAAGGCCUUAGGGUUGUAAAGCUCUUUUAGCAGGGAAGAUAAUGACGUUACCUGCAGAAAAAGCCCCGGCUAACUCCGUGCCAGCAGCCGCGGUAAGACGGAGGGGGCUAGCGUUGUUCGGAAUUACUGGGCGUAAAGAGUGCGUAGGUGGUUUAGUAAGUUGGAAGUGAAAGCCCGGGGCUUAACCUCGGAAUAGCUUUCAAAACUACUAAUCUAGAGUGUAGUAGGGGAUGAUGGAAUUCCUAGUGUAGAGGUGAAAUUCUUAGAUAUUAGGAGGAACACCGGUGGCGAAGGCGGUCAUCUGGGCUACAACUGACACUGAUGCACGAAAGCGUGGGGAGCAAACAGG
rnacentral:rRNA from 1 species